rnacentral:rRNA from 1 species
AUUGAACGCUGGCGGCAGGCUUAACACAUGCAAGUCGAACGAUGACUCUCUAGCUUGCUAGAGAAGAUUAGUGGCGGACGGGUGAGUAACAUUUAGGAAUCUGCCUAGUAGUGGGGGAUAGCUCGGGGAAACUCGAAUUAAUACCGCAUACGACCUACGGGUGAAAGGGGGCGCAAGCUCUUGCUAUUAGAUGAGCCUAAAUCAGAUUAGCUAGUUGGUGGGGUAAAGGCCCACCAAGGCGACGAUCUGUAACUGGUCUGAGAGGAUGAUCAGUCACACCGGAACUGAGACACGGUCCGGACUCCUACGGGAGGCAGCAGUGGGGAAUAUUGGACAAUGGGGGCAACCCUGAUCCAGCCAUGCCGCGUGUGUGAAGAAGGCCUUUUGGUUGUAAAGCACUUUAAGCAGGGAGGAGAGGCUAAUGGUUAAUACCCAUUAGAUUAGACGUUACCUGCAGAAUAAGCACCGGCUAACUCUGUGCCAGCAGCCGCGGUAAUACAGAGGGUGCGAGCGUUAAUCGGAAUUACUGGGCGUAAAGCGAGUGUAGGUGGCUCAUUAAGUCACAUGUGAAAUCCCCGGGCUUAACCUGGGAACUGCAUGUGAUACUGGUGGUGCUAGAAUAUGUGAGAGGGAAGUAGAAUUCCAGGUGUAGCGGUGAAAUGCGUAGAGAUCUGGAGGAAUACCGAUGGCGAAGGCAGCUUCCUGGCAUAAUAUUGACACUGAGAUUCGAAAGCGUGGGUAGCAAACAGGAUUAGAUACCCUGGUAGUCCACGCCGUAAACGAUGUCUACUAGCCGUUGGGGUCCUUGAGACUUUAGUGGCGCAGUUAACGCGAUAAGUAGACCGCCUGGGGAGUACGGCCGCAAGGUUAAAACUCAAAUGAAUUGACGGGGGCCCGCACAAGCGGUGGAGCAUGUGGUUUAAUUCGAUGCAACGCGAAGAACCUUACCUGGUCUUGACAUAGUGAGAAUCUCUCAGAGAUGAGAGAGUGCCUUCGGGAACUCACAUACAGGUGCUGCAUGGCUGUCGUCAGCUCGUGUCGUGAGAUGUUGGGUUAAGUCCCGCAACGAGCGCAACCCUUUUCCUUAUUUGCCAGCGGGUUAAGCCGGGAACUUUAAGGAUACCGCCAGUGACAAACUGGAGGAAGGCGGGGACGACGUCAAGUCAUCAUGGCCCUUACGACCAGGGCUACACACGUGCUACAAUGGUAGGUACAGAGGGUUGCUACACAGCGAUGUGAUGCUAAUCUCAAAAAGCCUAUCGUAGUCCGGAUUGGAGUCUGCAACUCGACUCCAUGAAGUCGGAAUCGCUAGUAAUCGCGGACCAGAAUGCCGCGGUGAAUACGUUCCCGGGCCU